rnacentral:lncRNA from 1 species
CAUUCAUCACUAGUGUGACAUCUUGGUACCCAGAAGGUAACGGUGUCUGAUAACAGAAAAGAUACAAAUUUAUUAAUAUUAUAUGUACAAUAGAAAUUAAAUUCAUCCCUUACAAAAUACAAAAGUGUACACCACUGAGGCACAAAAAUUAGCUAUAAUUUACGAAAUGAUUAUUUAGUUAACUCUACAAAAUACAAAAUAGGGUCCAUCAGAGUAUAACACAUCAAAUGCACUCAUUUUUUACUGGCAUAAGAAUGGAUCCAAGCAAGCAUAAAGAGGUAGUUUGAGGGGUGAGUCUUCACUUUCCAUGUCAUCUGGG